CGGUGAGAGGGAGUGAGAGGCAAGACUUGGAGAGUAGAAUUAGAUCAAUUUGGGCAAUGCGAUUGAAAGGUUGCAUCUAGAUUGAUCUCUCAAGGCUUUGGUAAUAAAGUACCAAAAUAAACAACUCUGCCUGGGAUUCAUUUAUAACCAGCUUAUGUGUCAUCAAACCAACCUGGGAGGUGACCGGCAGAAGACCGGGUCCAACGCAACAAUCGGGGGCUUCGUCCGGGAUGACACGCUGAAAAUUGGACUUAUCUUGCAAUCUUCCGGACAGACUCACUUGGCCAACAUGUAAAUAAAGAUCAGCCCCUCCCAGGUCCAGCCGCCCCCCUGGAAGGAGGAAUCAGCGUAAAACAAAAAUGGUAAGUUCAGCAAAUUCAGAAUAAUGUGCCAGUUCCUCUGUGCAGAUUCGAGGAUGACAGCCCGCCACUCCAAAUUCCCUUCCGCCCGCUGGGAGUGGGUCAAGAUCAAGGUCAUCAGGCACAAGUGGACGGACCCCAGUUGGACCGGUCUCUACAGGGUCGUGAAACGGACGUCUCACGCCCUUCGACUGGCAGAUGACACUGCCGACAUCGCCACAUCACCUGCCCCACUCGACCCCUUAGCAGAACUUACACACAUAGUCUCACAGCCCAGAAGACGACGCCGAGAGAGAUCUCCCCCUGUUGAGCUGCCGUCUACCGUUGUGUAGACGGUAGACGGCAGACCUGCUCAACUGCUGUAUCAUAUAUCCAAAUCUAUCAAAUCUCCUUACUUGAGACCAACCUAUGUAUUCGAUGUUAUACAACUUCUCUUACUUGUUUUCAGCAUAACUAUUGGUGUCGCUACAAUAAAUGAAAAGUUUGAUGUUU